GAGAGCUAACUUGGGGUCUUUUCCCAAGGUGGAUGUAGAAGCGGGCUCCGGCGUCCCACUCUCCCUUCCAUAUGGGCUUAGCGUCUGGGUCACUGAGAACGACGUCUGAAUAGGGCCCUGGGUCCUUGCCAUGGAUGAAUGUGGUUCCCGCAUCCGCCGGCGGGUGUCUCUCCCCAAAAGGAACCGUCCAAGCCUGGGGUGUAUUUUUGGCGCUCCCACCGCGGCCGAGCUCGAGCCCGGAGAUGAGGGGAAAGAGGAGGAGGAAAUGGUGGCUGAGAACAGGAGGCGGAAAACCGCGGGCGUACUGCCGGUUGAGGUACAGCCCCUUCUACUCUCAGAUUCCCCGGAAUGUCUCGUCCUUGGAGGUGGUGAUACAAACCCGGACCUCCUACGUCACGUGCCCACUGACAGAGGGGUGGGAGACCAGGUACGGAGGACUUGGAACUUGAAACUGCAAACUUUUGGCAUCCUUCCCAGAUGCAAAGAGUUGACCAGUUUUAUCGCCUUUGUUUACUUCUCUCGUCUUCGUUACCACUGUUAAUCGGCAUUUAGGAGCCUAAUGACAGUGAAGUGGACAUGUUUGGUGACUAUGAUAGCUUUACAGAAAACUCCUUUAUAGCUCAAGUUGACGACCUGGAACAAAAAUAUAUGCAACUCCCUGAACAUAGGAAACAUGCUACAGACUUUGCCACUGAAAAUCUUUGCUCGGAAAGUAUCAAAAACAAACUCAGCAUUACUACCAUA
rnacentral:sRNA from 1 species